GAAAUGGAUUUGUUAAAAUCCAUUCAAAGAAUCCUUCAAAUGUUG
rfam:Callithrix jacchus chromosome 22, whole genome shotgun sequence